rnacentral:hammerhead_ribozyme from 1 species
NNCCAGUUGACGAGUCCCAAAUAGGACGAAAUGCGCAUCCUAGAU